UCUGUCUUCAUGUUGUUGUACAAGGUAUCAUUAUCGAUGCCAAUUUUUUUAACGAAAUUUGCUGCUAAAUUGAGCUUGAGCUUCUCGGACUCGUGGAGGGUGGGAUCAUCGUGGUGGAGUGGGCCAAUUGAGAUCACUUUCGGCUUGAAAUAUUUCCGGAAAUCUUCGUCACGGCGAAGGGUUGCUGGGACUCUUUUGUCAAUAGUUUGGCUUUGGGGUCGAGAUGGUCCCCUUCGAAAGCUUCGUCUAAUGACCAGCAAUUCCGUGAUUCGCCAUUGCUGUGAGUGAAGUCUGUACCCGGUAUUGGAAUGAUCGUCUCUAGGGGAUUGUUGUUCGUGUUGUUAUUGAUGACUGUUUGAUCAGUGGAAACUACUCCACCGGGAGCUCUGACGGCGCCGCCUCCUUCUGUAACACCCCUAUACCAUGUUUGACUUAAGGAACCUAAUAUAAGAAUAUUACAUUUGAUGCCAAAGUAAUUCUUGGCUAAUUACUAUUAUAUUUGAACAUAAAAACAGACAAAUAAUAAAUUUAAAUAAUUUAUAUUUAAAUCCAUUACUACUACUUGGGACAUAAUUUUUUUUAAGUACAUGCCAUUCUAUUCAAAAUUUUAAAACAUACCCGUUGUUGCUUGAAGAUGUGAUGAGAUGAAAGCUUACAAUCUCAAAUUCGACUCUCAAAAAUUUAUGUACCUAAUUUGCGCAAGGAAACAAAUCGUACAAUGAGUAUACACCCAGUGUUAUUACUAUAAUUCAAAUACUUAAGGUAAAAACAAUAUAUAUACACAUUAAAUCUUACCACUAUUUUACCUUCAAUAAAUCAUUCAUGCAUUUAAACUUUAAAUUUAUUCUAAUAAUAUGUAUCUUAAAUAGCUUUUCUUUAUUUUAAUUUAUAUAUCUACUUAUUAUAUCAAUAUUCAUUUCAUGCAUUUCAUCAAUAACCAUUUCAUAAAACUAUUAUUUCAUAUAUUUCAUUUCUAUAUCCUAAUUCAAUAAUUUAUUCUAUUCCAUAUCUAAAACCUUACAACAUUAGUCUUUCAAUAAUUAUUUAAACCAACAUUUUUCAAUAAAAAUAAUUAUAAUUAAUUCAUAAGAUUAUAUCCAACUAACUCAUACACUAUUUCAUUAUUUCCUAUUCAUUCUAUUUUCACUUCUUAUUUCGAUAUCUCAAUUUCAAUUCACAUUUCAAUUCAUAAUUUCACUUUCUCAUACUUUCAAUAGCUCAAUCCAUCAAUUCAUUUGAUUUUUUCAUUUCAUUUAUUCAACUGAUUUCAAAAUCAAUAAUUCGAUAUUUUAGCAAAUUCAUGAACCUUAUGUUCAUGCUUCAAAUCUCGCAUCUUAAUGCCGUUCACAAUUCAACUCAUAAUUUCUUUCUCAUAUCUCUAAAAGUACGAUCAAUCAAAUUUAUUUAAUUUUCUCAUUUCAGUUAUUCACCUUAUUAACAAACCCGGACUUUGACGGAUACACGAAUUCCAACCCAAACACACCAGUACGGCAUAUUGUGCCUAAAACGGUACAUAGUACCUGAUCAGUAUACGACACAUAAGUGCCUGAAAUGACACACGAGGUGCCUAAUAUGACACACGAGGUGCCUGAAAUACGCAAAGCCGAUAUAUCCCGGACUCUUAUAAAUCCUAUGGCAUGCCAAUUAUAUCCGACUCAGCCCGACUAGAUAAUAGGGUAUUUCAAUUCUCAAUUCACUUUCAUUUCCAAUUCAAUAUCACUUUUCAAUUACAAUUUCUCAUUCAAAUCAAUAUACAAUUCAAUUGUACAUACACAUUCAUCAUUCAAUUCAAUUCUCAUUCAUUUCAAAAUCAAUUUUUCACUUUCUAAUCAAUAAACAAUUCAAUACCAAUACAUAUUUCAGAUAAUCACAUAUAAUCAUAUUUCGAUUCAAUUCAAACCACUUUUCAAUCAAUACACAAUUCACAUAUUCACACAUAUUCAUAAAUUAAUUCACUUUUAUUUAAUUCAUAUUUUUAAUUCAUUUUCCAAUCAAAUUCAAAUCACUAAUUACUUUUCAAUCAAUAUACAUUUCAAAUACUCACAUAUUUUCUUCAUUCAAUUCAAUUUGAUUCAAUUAAAAUCACUUUUAGUUUCCAAUCAAUAUAAUUUCAAAUAUUCACAUAAUUCGUAAUUCAAUUACUUAAAUCACUUUUAAUUUCCAAUUUGUUCACAUUCAAUUUCAAUAGCCAUAAACAUUUUUGAAUCAAUUUCAUUCAAAUCAAUAUCAUCAUUUCAAUUGCUUACCUAAUUUUAUUUGCCAUGCAUUUUAAUUCAAAUAUAACAAUUAAUAAUAAAUAGAUUUGAAUUAUAGUAGUACAAACCCGGAUUUGUUCGAUUACUCCUCGAUAACGUUUCCUUUCUUUUCGGUGCCGAUGCCUCGAUUUCUUUGGUAACUACAAAAAUAAUAAUAAUAAUUUACACUUAUUAAUAACAGCACUAAUUUAUAAUAAUGAUUGAAUUUCUAUUCAAUUUAUAUCCUAAUUCCAAUUUAAUCCUAAUUAACUCAUUUACUUUUAUAAUUCAAUUCAUACUUCAUUUCGAUUCAAUUUCCUUCCAUAUUUCACUUAACUAUCUAAUGUUCAUAAUAAAAUUAUAAUUUAAAAUUUCUUUCAAUUUAGUCCUUUCAACACAAAACUUAUAGCUUCUUUUACAAUUCAAUCCCUUACCAAAUAUAACUUGAAAUUCAUUCAAUUAAAUCCCUAAUUCAUCUUUUUGUUCAACAUGAACUAUACUUAUAAACCUAUGAACUUUCAAAGUAUCAACUUAAUUUCAUCAAAACCUUGUUCUAAAGCUUGUAAAACAUCAAAAUUAAGUAAAAAUGACUUAAUUGACUUACCUAUUAAAGUUUUAACCUUCAAACCCUAGUUUUUCCCCAUUUUCUUUUCUUUCCCUUUUCUUUCUUCUUGUUUUCGAAUGGCUUCUGCUAUUCUUUCUUUUGCUUUCUUUCUUUAUUUCAUUUCAUUUAUAUAUAUAUAUAUAAUAUUAGUUAAUAAUGAUAAUAAUGAUAAUAAUAAUUAUAAUAAAUAUCUUUUAAUAACACAUAUUUACAUUACAUUUGUCACCACUUAAUUUGUUUAUCGUACACAAAAAUCUUAUAAUAUAAUUAUUUAAUUAAUAACUAUCUUUUACUUAAUUUUCAAGUAAAUAAAUAAAUAUAAUACAAAUGUAUAUAUUUACAUUAUUUCAAUUGUCACUAUCCAAUUUUUUUAUUAGUUAUCUAAUAAAUAUCUUUUACUUAGUAAUAAUAAAUAAUAAAUAUCUAUUUACUAAUUAAAUAUAAGUAUUACAAAUGUACAUAUAUUUUUUUUACAAGUGUACAAUAUCAUCACCACCCAUUUGGCAAAAUUUUGAUUUAUUCAUAUAAUAUAAUAUAAUAUUUUUAAUUUAUAACUAAUAUAAAUUGCCAUAUAAUAAAAUAAUUAUAUACAUAAUAAUUUAAUAAUAAUUAAACAAUAAAAAUUUUAGAUUUUUAUCAACAUUUGCCGCCUCAUUUAUGGUGAAUGGUAUAUUUUCCAUUUUGGUCCCCCUUUCUUUUUAUUAAUCUAAUUUAGCCCUUAAUAUUUAUAAUUUUACCAAUUUGAUUUUUAUUCUUUUUAGUUAAAUUUAAUUCUCUACCUAGUGUCAAAUUUGACUAUUGAUCUUUUAGAAAAUUGUCGAAUUAAUGUUUUGUUCUUUGCUUUCAAUUUGGUUCUGUUCUUAAGCAAAUUUCUGCUUUGUUUCUUCUCCAAGUCACGAGUCUUGUUGUUCAAGUCAUAGCUGAACUAGCUUGCUUGUUGUUCAUAACACCAACAACCUGUUCUCGGCUGGGUUGAUAACAGUAUCAUCGAUGAACCUCCGGAUUGCAUUCAUGAACAUUUUGCCAUCACCCAAGCUUGUAAGCAAUUCAAGAACACGAAAAGGUAAUUGAUUUUCCAACAAGAACAGAUCCGAGUACAAAAAUGUCAGUAAAUCAUUUUUAAUUAACAAAUUACCAUCAUCAUCAUCAUUAUCGUAACGCAUGUCAACUGCUUGUAAAUUUGCGCAGCCGUCAACGAUGAACAUCCAAGCCAGUUCCUCGUUAUCGUCUCUAUACUUCUCUAAUUCCUGUGGAUCAUAGCAUUCCUUCAAGCUAUCCAUCUCUUUCUUAAUUUUUCUGUACAAGGAUUUCUUAUCGACGCCAAUUUUUUUGACGAAAUGUGCUGCUAAUUUGAGGUUGAGCCCCUUGGAUUCACGGAGGGUGAGAUCAUCGUGGUGGAGUGGGCCGAUUGAGAUCACUUUCAGCUUGAAAUACUUCUUGAAAUCUUCGUUACGGAGAAGGGUUGAUGGGACUUUUUGUAUUAAUGGUUUGUAUCUAAGGGUGGGUUGGCCACCAAAAGCUUUGUCUAAUGACUGGAGCUUCGCUACUUCGCCAUCGCUGAGAGGGACGUCGGUGAACCACAUAUCAAUUCCCACGUAAUCGUUGUUGGUGUUGUUGUCGAUGAUUGUUUGAUUAGUGGAAACUGCUCCGGCGGCGCUGCCUCCUUCCUCCAUGGACGACAUUUUCAGGCUGACCGGCUCGAAGUAAUUAACAAGGUGAUUUUGAAAACUUGUUUUGGCUGAUUGAGUGAUGUUGGAAAAAAGGUGGCAAAAUGGCUACGAUGAUAACAAAUCUUCUAUAGCUUACAUAAAGAGGCGAAUAUAGGGGAAUGUAAAAUUGUUAUUUAGGCCCUUAAUAUUUUUUAAAAUUUUAAAUUAGUAAAAGUGAAAUUACAUUUUGGCCUUAUAAAAUUAUAAAAAUUCAAUUUAAUCUUUUAAAAAUUAUAAAGAUAUAGACUACAAAAAAUUAAAAUCUCAUUCGAUCCACCCUAAAAAAUUAUUCGGGCUUCGCCACUGCUUACAUAAUAAACAUAUGGAAAAUACUUUUGGUGUAAUUCAAAUUUACCCCUUAUAGUCAAUUUAAUUUUCAUUUUUUUAAUUUAAUUUUCUAUCUUUUGGAAGAGUUGAAUUUAACUAUCAAUUUAAAUUAAUAUUUUUUAACGAAAAUAGUGACUAAAAUAUUAAAAUAUUAAACAUGACAACUCAAACGGCAAUCCACAUCUAUAUGUUUUUUUUAUUUAUUUCUUAUUUUUAAAUUAUUUAUUGAUGUGACAUAUAAUAAAAGUAUUGUUAUAUUAGCAUGAAGUACACAUGGAAGGCCACACGAGUUGUGACACCAAUAUCGUUAAAAAUUAAUAUUUUAGUUAGCAUAUCUGUUAAAGAAAAGCAAAUGAACUCUUUUUUCAAAGGUUAAUGGCUAAAUUUAGCUCAAAUGAAAAAAAAAAAAGGCCAAUUUGAUAAAAAAGGUAAAUGUCAAGAGUUAAGUUUAACAUUUAUACAAGUACAAAUAUAUGUCUGGAUUAAUCUAGAAAGAACAAGACAAACUCUACAGGUGAUAUACAAAUGUGAUGAGAGUGGAACCUGCACAUCACAAUUGAGAAUAAUAUUAUAGAACCUAAAUACUCAAAAACCUAAAACCUUCCCCUUAACCAAGAAGCUAAGACGCCAUGGAUAAUUUUAUAUCUACAACACUUAUGAAUUUCAUAUGCUUAAUAAUAGUUUACAAAAAGACAAGUAAAGAACACUUACUUCGGUUGAUGUAUGGUAUAAUAAGUCUGCAAAGCACUAAGAGUAAGUGCAGCAAUGGCACCCAAAAAUGCUAAAAACGUCCAAGGACUCCUAAAAUAAGUAUGAUAACCUUGAGCUGCAUGAUUAAUCCACAUAGUCUUACAAUGAUUAUGUAUUUUCUCUUUAACCCCACUGUAAAUUGUCGGACUAGGAACCAAAUCAGUGUUCAUCUUAUUGAAAAGCUUAGCCAUUUCUUCAUCACUGCCCAAUCCAUUGUAUAGUAUGCCGGAGUCUCUAAGGUCUUUAACAUCUUCGGCUUCAUCGAUCAAUAAAUCAAGGAAACACAUAUAUGAAGUGACGGUGAAAUCGUUGUCGAAAUCCGGACACAUUUCGUAAGCUAUUAAGUUCAUGGUUGAAUCAUCGACGGAGAUCGGCGGUAACCGUAAUUUUCCGAAGAAGAAGAUAUGGUUGAAACUGAUGUCGGUUAAAUUACUUGUUUCGCUGGCUUCUAACCAUAUCCCGGCCUUUUUAAGCUCUUUUACGUUACCAAUGGUGCGUGAAUGGUACCGUUUUGUUCUUUUUCUUCUUGCUGCUGCUUUGCCAAAUCCGUGUCGAGUGAAUUCCCAAAGAAAACACCAGCACCGUAUUCGUACUUUUCUGAGAAGGAGUCUUUCUCGUAGUAGAUGCAAUAAGUGAAUUCGCUCUCCUUCUUUUUGCUGCUUCCACCACCAUUCCCUACACCAAAAUCUGUGUUAGUCGGAAGCCAAGCUACAAUUUCUCUUUUCUCUUUUCUUUUUUUCUUUUUUGUUGUUAAUACAAAAAUAUUAAAAAUCAAUCUAUACUUGUUAAUCAAGUUGGUUGAAUAAAAAAUUAAAUAAAAUUGAAGUUAUACCAAUUGAAUUAAAGAAUGGAAUAAAUUUCUUUUUAUAUUUUUAAUAUUUUUAAAAAUUUAUAUAAUUAAACUGAAUUAACUAAUCAAAUGGAAAAGAGAGUCUAAUAGAUUCCAUCACCUAUGUAGUUAUAAAAACCUUUUAACAUUUAUAAACUCCACAAAAAUGAUUCUUUAUUUAAUUCCCUAAAUUACCUGUCCUCGCCUGGGUUGAUAACAGUUUCGUCGAUGAACCUUUGGAUUGCAUUCAUGAACUUUUUGCCAUCCCCCGAGCUUGUAAGCAAUUCAAGAACACGAAAAGGUAAUUGGUUUUCCAACAAGAACAGAUCCGAGUACACAAAUGUCAGCAAAUCGUCUUUAAUAAACAAUUUACCAUCAUCAUCAUCAUCAUCAUCAUCACCGUAACGCCUGUAAACUGCUUGUAAAAUUGCGCAGCCGUCAACGAAGAAAAUCCAAGCCAGUUUCUCGUUAUCGUUGCUAUAGUUCUCUAAUCCCUUUGGAUCAUAGCAUUUCUUUAACUCAUCGAUCUCUGUCUUCAUGUUGUUGUACAAGGUAUCCUUAUCGACGCCAAUUUUUUUGACGAAAAGUGCUGCUAAUUUGAGCUUGAGCUUCUCGGAUUUAUGGAAGGUGGGAUCAUCGUGGUGGAGUGGGCCGAUUGAGAUCACUUUCGGCUUGAAAUACUUACUGAAAUCUUCGUGACGACCAAGGGUUGAUGGGACUCUUUGUAUCAAUGGUUUGGCACGGAGGUCGAUUUCGUCGCCGUCGAAAGCUUCGUCUAAUGACCGGAGAUUCACUACUUCGCCAACGCUGAGAGGGACGUCCAUAUCAAUGCUCACGGAAUCGUUGUUGUCGGUGAUUGUUUGAUCAGUGGGAGCUGCUCCGACGGCGCCGCCUCCUUCCUCCGUGGAGGACAUUUUCAGGCUGAGCGGUUGGAAGUAAUAAACAAGGUGAUUUUGUAAACUGUUUUUGGCAGAGUGAGUGAUGUUGGAGAAAAGGUAGCAAAGUGGAUAAGAUGAUGACAAAUAUUUUGUAGCUUACAUGAUAAACAUAUAUGGGAAAUACUUAAGGCGUUAGUGUUUAUAUUUUUACUAAUAUAAACAAUGAUAAAAAAGAAAAGUUAAAUAGUGACAAAUACUAAAAUUGAGAAUAAUAUUAUGGAACCUAAAUACUCAACACUACUCAAAACCUUCGCCUUUAACCAAGAAACUAAGACCCUAUCUGAGGGAGAAUUUUAUAUCUACAACACUUCCUAAAUUUCAUUAGCUUAAUAAUAGCUAUUCAAAUAUAUUUUUUCAUUUUAUUACUGACUUUAAUAUUUAAAUUAUCAUUAUAUUGCAUGAUUUAUUCCAAAUAUUUACAUAUAGUAAUUGCAUUUGUAAUUCUACCUAACUAUGAAAAAUCUCAAAUUUGCAACAUGUUAUUCACAUGCCAACCAACCAAUAUAUUAUUCCUACCAACCAAUUUAUCAUUCACAUUCCAACUUUCUAAAUCCAUCAAAUAUUUCAUAUUCAUGUACUAACAAAGAUCAUGCCAAGAACCCACAUGCAAAGUCAUUGUAUAGUACCACAUUUAACUCAAUCGGACUUUUACACAACUAAAGAUUACUCCAAACGUUUAUAUGCAUGUCACAAUCCUUCACUCAAAAUGAUAAAAAAAACUAUUAAAUUGACGAUAAAAUAGUUUAAGCUUCGACCGAUUCAACCGACGUGUUCUAGCAUAUAAUAUGUUUAGUAAGCUCAUAUGGAAACUAAAACUUACCUAGAUCAAUUGAACAUAAAAAAUUACUCAAUAAGCUAUCGAAUUAAUUUUUCCCUGACACUUAUAUACAUAUAGUACAUCUAAUAAAAUUUCUGUUAAAGAAAAGCAAUUUGACUCUUUUUCUAAAAAGUUAAUAACUAAAUUUAGCUCAAAUAAAAAAAAAGAAUAAAAGUCAAUUUGAUAAAAAAUAUAAAUAUUAAAAAUUAAAUUUAUCAUUAUAUCUUUUUUAAGUAAUUAUUUGUGGUGAGCCAUCAUGUCUGACGAUGAUUUUUAAAUACUGUAUUAAUUAUAUAUAGCACAUCAUAUUUCACUAUAAUUUCUAUAGACUUUUUAAACAUGGGGUUAAUUGUUUAUGGCCCAUUGCCCAUGUUGCUUUUAUUAAAUUUUGGGUGAACUUCUCAUUUUGGUCAAAAAAAAAUUGUAUUCUCAGUAUAAAACAAAAAACUAAUCUUUAAUGUUUAUGGCCAAACCCCACCUCUCCUAUCCUAUAAUAAUGGUUCUUGGCUUCUUCUAUCCUACACCUCAAUUAUUUGGAUUAGAUUGAAAAACAAUUGACACUUGAUUUGAUUGUGAAAUAAAGUUAAAUUUUAAAUUUAUAAUAUUUAAUUUGAGUGUGAAUGAAUUUUUGACUUAAUUGAAAAUUUAAAAUUUUAAGUUCGAGUCGUAUUUAAUUAUGUGUGUAUAUCGUGUAUAAAUUUUGUUCAAAUUUAUUUUGAUUUAAUUUUCAUACUAUAUAUUCUUAAUUAAAUUCGGAAUAUAUUUUGAUUAUCAAUUUAACCAUACAUUGUAACGAUGGAUUAAAAUUAUAGUUAAUUAUAUAUUGAAACUAAAUAAUUAGUUUAAGGAAUUAAAAGAUAUUAUUAUAUUUUAUAAAAUUUGAAUAGAUUCAUAAUUAAUUCGAGAUUAAAAAAUGGGAGAAGAAAAGCUAAAACCAAACCUUUUUUACGGUUGGAACUAAACCCCAUGCGGUGUGGAAAAUUGCAAGUUUCCAGAAUAUACCUACACUUACUAAUUAUAAUAAAUAUCUUUUACUUAGUAAUAAUAAAUAAUAAAUAUAUAUUUACUAAUUAAAUAUAAAUAUUACAAAUGUACAUAUAUUUUGUUUACAAUUGUACAAUAUCAUCACCAUCCAUUUGGCAAAUUUGAUUUGUUCAUAUAAUGUUAAUUUAUAACUAAUAUAAAUUACCGUAUAAUAAAAUAAUUAUGUACAUUAUAAUUUAAUAAUAAUUAAACAAUAAAAAUCUUAGAUUUUUUAUCAACAUUUGCCGCCUCAUUUAUGGUGAAUGGUAUAUCUCCCAUUUUGGUCCCCCUUUCUUUUUAUUAAUUCUUUUUCCUAAUUUCUCCUAAUUAAGCUAAAUUCACUUAAUUAAAUCCUAAUUAAACACACAACUAGCCUCACAAAUAUUCUUAAUAAAACAUUUACAAACUCGGUUUACUAAGACAGAAGCCCUAUAACUCACUUUUUCGGUGCCCGUGAAUUUUGGGCCAUUACACAUUCUUCCGUGGAUAACAUUUUUAGGCUGAGCGGUUCGAAGUAAUUACCAAGGUGAUUUUGUAAACUGUUUUUGGCUAAGUGAGUGAUGUUGGUGAAAAGGUGGCAAAAUGGCUACAAUGUUUCUAUAGCUUAUAUAUAAUGAACAUACGGAAAAUAUUUUUGUGUAAUAUCAAAUUUAGCCCUUAAUAUUUAUAAUUUUACCAAUUUGAUUCUUAUUCUUUUUAGUUAAAUUUAAUUCUCUACCUUUUGAAAGUGUCAAAUUUUCUUGGCUGGAAGCUCACUGCAUGGAAGCCAAAAUCAAAACAAACUUUUGAUGGUUUAAUUGUUUUUGAGCCCUUCAAUUUCAGGUGCUAUGAGAAAUGGAUUACAACCUCAUCUUGUCGUUAUCCCAAAAUCAAAACAAGCAACUCUUGGUUGAAAGUUGAAACCAAGGGCCAAGUCAAAAUUGUUUUAGGAUGAGUCCAAAAUGAAUAAUGAAUUUGAAGGUUCAAAAUAAAAUUUUAUUAAUAUAUAAAUUUAUAAUUUCAUAAAUUUUAAAAGGAUUAAAUGAUAAAUUUACUAAUUUAAGAAGACAAUAGGGAUGGUCAAAUAUUCUAAUUGAACCUAUCUGCGAUCGGAUCGGGAUGGAUUUUUUUAAUUAAAAAAAUUAAAUAGAUUGAAUCGAAAUUCUAGGAGUUACAAAAUUCUCAUAAAUAACAAGAGUUUACAAAAAGUACACUUACUUUGGUUGAUGUAUGGUAUAAUAAGCCUGCAAAGCACCGAUAAAAAGUGCACCAAUGGCACCCACAAAUGCGAAAAACGUCCAACGAGUCCUAAAAAAAGUACGGUAAACUUGAGCUGGAUAUGUAAUCCACAUAUUGUUAUGAUGAUCAUGUAUUUGCAGUUUAACAUGUCUGUAAAUCAUCAGACUAGGAACCAAAUCCAUGUUCAUCUUCUUGAUAAGCUUAGCCACUUCUUUAUCACUCCCAAAUCCAUGGUAUAGUAUGCCUGCGUCUCUCAGUUCCUUAACAUCUUCGGCUUCAUCGAUCAAUGAAUCAAGGAAACCCAUAUAUGAAGUGACGGUGAAAUUGUUGUAGAAAUCCGGACAAUUUCGUAAGCUAUUAAGUUCAUGGUUGAAUCAUCGACGGUGAGAGGCGGUAACCGUAAUUUUCCGACGAAGAAGUAAUGGUUGAAACUGAUGUCGGUUAAACAACUUGUUUCGCUUGCUUCUAACCAUAUCCCGGCGUUUUUAAGCUCUUUUACGUUACGAAACGGGUGUGAAUGGUGAGGUUUUAUUCUUGUAUGGUUUCUGCGAUUUGUGAAGGAUAUGCAAAACCUAGAAGGCCAUGGUUUUUCUUUUUUGAAAAGGAGUCUUACUCGUAGUAGAUGCAAUAAGUGAAUUGGCUCUUUAUUUUUUUCUUGCAGCUGCUGCCACCAUUCACUAGAGCAAAAUCUGUGUUAGUCGGGAGCAAGCUAAAAUUAAGGUUUUCAAUGGUUGAAUCAAAUCAUUAUUAUUUAAUAAAAAAUUAUUUAAAUUAUUAAAUUACAUUUUAAUCCUUUUAAAAAUUAUUAAAUUAUAAAUUUGUAUACAAUAAAAUUAUAUUUUGACUCCUCAAAAUGAAUAAAAAAUUGUUUAAACACUUUUAAAAAAUGAUGACAUCAUAAAUUAAUGCAAAAAAAAAAUCUAAGAAUUAAACCAAACUUGUCUAUCGGCCUAAUUAAACAGAGAAUCAAGCAAGGUACUAAUCCAGAAUAAUAAAUUAAAUCCAUUGAAUCUAAUCAUCAAAUCGAUUUUUUUUAUAUUUUUAAUAUAUCUUUAAUAUUUUUAAAAUUUUAUAUAAUUGAAUCGAAUAAACUAAUCAACCAAAAAUGAGACUCUAAUGGAUUGUAUCACCUAUAUAUGUAGUUGUAAAAAUCCUUUUAACAUUUAUAAACUCCACAAAUUGAUUCAUUUAUAAAUUCCUUAAAUUACCUGUCCUGCUGAUGUGAUUGUGGGUCUUUAACAGUGCCGUUGAUGAACCUUAUGAUUGCCUCCAUGAAUUUUGUGCCAUCCUUCGAUCUUGUAAGCAAUUCAAGAACACGAAAAGGUAAUUGGUUUUCCAACAAGAACAGAUCCGAGUACACAAAUGUUAGCAAUUCGUUUUUAAUAGAAAAUUCGUUCGACGUACGACAACGAUCUUGGCCGUAAAGCAUAUAAACUGCUUGUAAAAUUGCGCAGCCGUCAACGAAGAACAUCCAAGCCAGUUUCUCGUUAUCGUUGCUAUAGUUCUCUAAUCCCUUUGGAUCAUAGCAUUUCUUUAAGCCAUCGAUCUCUGUCUUCAUGUUGUUGUACAAGGUAUCCUUAUCGACGCCAAUUUUUUUAACGAAAAGUGCUGCUAAUUUGAGCUUGAGCUUCUCGGAUUUAUGGAGGGUGGCAUCAUCGUGGUAGAAUGGGCCGAUUGAGAUCACUUUCGGCUUGAAAUACUUACUGAAAUCUUCGUGACGACCAAGGGUUGAUGGGACUCUUUGUAUCAAUGGUUUGGCACCGAGGUCGAUUUCGUCGCCGUCGAAAGCUUCGUCUAAUGACCGGAGAUUCACUACUUCGCCAACGCUGAGAGGGACGUCCAUAUCAAUGCUCACGGAAUCGUUGUUGUCGGUGAUUGUUUGAUCAGUGGAAACUGCUCCGACGGCGCCGCCUC
rnacentral:lncRNA from 1 species